rnacentral:tRNA from 1 species
AUUUAUAUAGUAUAUAUAAAAUUACAUUUAAUUUCCAAUUAAAAAAAUUAACUUUAUCUUAAUAUAAAUA